UUCCCUUAUAACGGCGAGUGAACAGGGAAAAGCCCAGCACCGAAGCCUGUGGUCGCUUGAUCACUAGGCAAUGUGGUGUUUAGGUUGAAUCGCGGAAGUACUGCUCCUCUCCAAGUCCGACACUGAGUACGGUAUUUUGGACGCGGCCCAUAGAGGGUGAAAGGCCCGUGGGGGAGGAGAUCAGGCAAGCCAGUACUUCCCUGAUGAGACCUUGGAGUCGGGUUGUUUGUGAAUGCAGCCCAAAGUGGGUGGUAAACUCCAUCCAAGGCUAAAUACUAGCACGAGUCCGAUAGCGAACAAGUACCGUGAGGGAAAGUUGAAAAGUACUUUGAAGAGAGAGUAAACAGUGCGUGAAACCGCUCAGAGGUAAACGGGUGGAGUUGAACUGCGUGCUCUGUGAAUUCAGCUGGUGACUGUAUUAUGGUCUUGGUCAUUUUGAUUGGACAGCGUGGUCUGCGUAGUAGCAGGUUCUUGCUUUCGGGUAGGAAUGCACGAGUCACUUAUCAGGUGAUGUGCGCUUCGUUUGUUCUUCGAAUCGGUUGCCAGUGCACUUUCUCAGAGUGUUCAUCACGACCGGCACCGCUGUCUGGCCGUUGUGGUUAAACCGGCUUGGUAUUGUCCUUGUGGCUUUAUCAGGUCGGGAUGGCAGGUAGCUCGUUGGUUUCUUCUUGCGACCUUCGAGUGUAAUCAGCUGACCAUAAUGGUUCUGUGCAGUGUGUCGGAGACGGCGGCUUGUGGUGUGUGCAUGUGUGGUGAUUCGCUGGCGUGUUCGGGUUUGGUUGCCAUGUUGCUUGUUUAUGCAAGCCUGGUGAUGGCUCGGAUUCGUUCGGUGGGUCGCUGCGUGUGUGACAUCGUUACAGGGCCAACAGUCUGUGAUGUUGUGGUAGACUAUCCACCCGACCCGUCUUGAAACACGGACCAAGGAGAGUAACAUGUGCGCGAGUCAUUGGGCGUAACGAAACCCAUAGGCGCAGUGAAAGUAAAGGUUUGGCUUGUCCAGACUGAGGUGAGAUCUCGUCGUUCCUCACACAUGGUGCCACCAAGUUACGAGCGGCGAGCGCAUCACCGGCCCGUCCCAUGACGUGGACGUGAUCUUCGGAUCAUGCAUCGUCGGGGCGGAGCAUGAGCGUACAUGUUGAGACCCGAAAGAUGGUGAACUAUACUUGCGCAGGUUGAAGCCAGAGGAAACUCUGGUGGAGGACCGCAGCGAUUCUGACGUGCAAAUCGAUCGUCAAACGUGAGUAUAGG
rnacentral:rRNA from 1 species